rnacentral:rRNA from 1 species
UACGGAGGGGGCUAGCGUUGUUCGGAAUUACUGGGCGUAAAGCGCACGUAGGCGGCUUUGUAAGUUAGAGGUGAAAGCCCAGGGCUUAACCCUGGAAUUGCCUUUAAGACUGCAUCGCUAGAAUCGUGGAGAGGUGAGUGGAAUUCCGAGUGUAGAGGUGAAAUUCGUAGAUAUUCGGAAGAACACCAGUGGCGAAGGCGACUCACUGGACACGUAUUGACGCUGAGGUGCGAAAGCGUGGGGAGCAAACAGGAUUAGAUACCCCCGAGUAG